rnacentral:rRNA from 1 species
AGCGUCUGGAAAGUCGCAGGGUACAGGGUGAUACUCCCGUACACAAAAACACACAUGCUGUGAGCUCGAUGAGUAAGGCGGGACACGUGGUAUCCUGUCUGAAUAUGGGGGGACCAUCCUCCAAGGCUAAAUACUCCUGACUGACCGAUAGUGAACCAGUACCGUGAGGGAAAGGCGAAAAGAACCCCGGCGAGGGGAGUGAAACAGAACCUGAAACCGUGUACGUACAAGCAGUGGGAGCCUUCUUUAUGGGGGUGACUGCGUACCUUUUGUAUAAUGGGUCAGCGACUUAUAUUCUGUAGCAAGGUUAACCGUAUAGGGGAGCCGCAGGGAAACCGAGUCUUAACUGGGCGUUAAGUUGCAGGGUAUAGACCCGAAACCCGGUGAUCUAGCCAUGGGCAGGUUGAAGGUUGGGUAACACUAACUGGAGGACCGAACCGACUAAUGUUGAAAAAUUAGCGGAUGACCUGUGGCUGGGGGUGAAAGGCCAAUCAAACCGGGAGAUAGCUGGUUCUCCCCGAAAGCUAUUUAGGUAGCGCCUCGUGAACUCAUCUUCGGGGGUAGAGCACUGUUUCGGCUAGGGGGCCAUCCCGGCUUACCAACCCGAUGCAAACUGCGAAUACCGAAGAAUGUUAUCACGGGAGACACACGGCGGGUGCUAACGUCCGUCGUGAAGAGGGAAACAACCCAGACCGCCAGCUAAGGUCCCAAAGUCAUGGUUAAGUGGGAAACGAUGUGGGAAGGCACAGACAGCCAGGAUGUUGGCUUAGAAGCAGCCAUCAUUUAAAGAAAGCGUAAUAGCUCACUGGUCGAGUCGGCCUGCGCGGAAGAUGUAACGGGGCUAAACCAUGCACCGAAGCUGCGGCAGCGACGCUUAGGCGUUGUUGGGUAGGGGAGCGUUCUGUAAGCCGUCGAAGGUGGCCUGUGAGGGCUGCUGGAGGUAUCAGAAGUGCGAAUGCUGACAUAAGUAACGAUAAAGCGGGUGAAAAGCCCGCUCGCCGGAAGACCAAGGGUUCCUGUUCAACGUUAAUCGGAGCAGGGUGAGUCGACCCCUAAGGCGAGGCCGAAAGGCGUAGUCGAUGGGAAACAGGUUAAUAUUCCUGUACUCGGUGUUACUGCGAAGGGGGGACGGAGAAGGCUAUAUCAGCCGGGCGACGGUUGUCCCGGUUUAAGCGUGUAGGCGGAGAGUUUAGGUAAAUCCGGACUCUUGUUAACGCUGAGGCGUGACGACGAGGCACUACGGUGCUGAAGUGAUAAAUGCCCAGCUUCCAGGAAAAGCCUCUAAGCAUCAGGUAACACAGAAUCGUACCCCAAACCGACACAGGUGGUCAGGUAGAGAAUACCAAGGCGCUUGAGAGAACUCGGGUGAAGGAACUAGGCAAAAUGGUGCCGUAACUUCGGGAGAAGGCACGCUGGCGCGUAGGUGGAGGGACUUGCUCCCCGAGCCGAAGCCAGUCGAAGAUACCAGCUGGCUGCAACUGUUUAUUAAAAACACAGCACUGUGCAAACACGAAAGUGGACGUAUACGGUGUGACGCCUGCCCGGUGCCGGAAGGUUAAUUGAUGGGGUUAUCCGCAAGGAGAAGCUCUUGAUCGAAGCCCCGGUAAACGGCGGCCGUAACUAUAACGGUCCUAAGGUAGCGAAAUUCCUUGUC